rnacentral:rRNA from 1 species
UGUGGGGUGCUCGAGUGGCGAACGGGUGAGUAACACGUGAGUAACCUGCCCUUGACUUUGGGAUAACUUCAGGAAACUGGGGCUAAUACCGGAUAGGAGCUCCUGCUGCAUGGUGGGGGUUGGAAAGUUUCGGCGGUUGGGGAUGGACUCGCGGCUUAUCAGCUUGUUGGCGGGGUAGUGGCUUACCAAGGCUUUGACGGGUAGCCGGCCUGAGAGGGUGACCGGCCACAUUGGGACUGAGAUACGGCCCAG